AGAUGCUACUAUGAUGCCAACCUGGACAUUGAUCAUCGGGACUGAUUUGGCUGAUCUGGCUAGCUAGGCAGGUGUCUCCUUCCUCUUUCACUGCUCCAUGUGAGUCCCUCCAAAGCUUCAUGAUCACUAGAAUAGGAAAGCUUUAUCUGAAUAGAGAUGGACCUGUCUUUGGUCAAAGGUAUAAGAGAAGCUGCAGUCCCAUUAGAACCUCCAAACAAGCUCCCAAAAACAAAUGGAGAAAUGGGAAAAUAGAGGUAGAGAUGUGUAGUAAUGUGGUAAUUAUGCUACCCUGAUAAUCUAACUUAUAAUAGUUGCAUUUAUUA
rnacentral:snRNA from 1 species